CCUUGUACACACCGCCCGUCACACCAUGGGAGUGGGUUGCUCCAGAAGGUGUUAGUCUAACCGCAAGGGGGACGACGCCCACGGAGUGGUCCAUGACUGGGGUG
rnacentral:rRNA from 1 species